ACGAUAGACGGAGCUAGUUGCAGAC
rnacentral:misc_RNA from 1 species